rnacentral:tRNA from 1 species
GGUGGCUGUAGUUCAGUUGGUUAGAGCGUCAGAUUGUGGUUCUGAAUGUCGUGGGUUCGAGCCCCACCCGCCACCC